rnacentral:rRNA from 1 species
AUACGUAGGGAGCGAGCGUUGCCCGGAUUUACUGGGUGUAAAGGGUGCGUAGGCGGCUCUGCAAGUCAGGUGUGAAAACCAUCGGCUUAACUGAUGGACUGCAUUUGAAACUGUGGGGCUUGAGUGGAGUAGAGGCAGACGGAAUUCCCGGCGUAGCGGUGAAAUGCGUAGAGAUCGGGAAGAACACCAGUGGCGAAGGCGGUCUGCUGGGCUCUAACUGACGCUGAGGCACGAAAGCAUGGGUAGCAAACAGGAUUAGAUACCCUGGUAGUCCAUGCCGUAAACGAUGAUUACUAGGUGUGGGGAGUCUGACCCUCUCCGUGCCGGAGUUAACACAAUAAGCACUCCGCCUGGGGAGUACGGCCGCAAGGCUGAA